AUGGAAAAAGCAAGGUGUUAUUUAAACUGUUUGGUAAAACAACAGAGACAACACUGUGAUGUCACCAGUUCCCAUGGAUUUAAUUACCAUCUCUAUGCUGAUGAUUCUCAGGUCUACCUUUCCUGCCCCAAUCUCUCUGCUGACUCCAACUUGAAUCUCCAUCUGCCUUUCAGACAUCUCAAACUGGAGAUGCAGAAUGGCCAAUUCCACGCCGGAGGGUCAACAACUGUGCAUCAACAGAGGUUGCCCAACCAAGAGCACUCAGUUUAACACUAAGCCAAUAUGUUCAUGCCUCCUACUGAAAGACCAUCCUUGCUAUGGAUGAAACCAGCAACUGUAAAGAAGUCUUCACUGAAGAAAGUAAGGUGAAGAAAACAGCUAAAAUUCUAUUUGAUUUUCUGUUCAAUAGCCCUAAAUUCUACUAUCCCUUUAAGAAACCCUUUUCUUCCUAUUUGACACCAUUUCUACAGGAACUUCAAAAGCUGGAGCAGACUUCAACCAAUGAACUAUUGAUGGCAAAGUCAACAGCCUGAGAAAGCAGAUGGGAGUGAUAAAGUUUAAUGCUCCUAGAGCUGACUGUUUGGUUUGGUUUGGUUUUUUCUCCCAAAGAGCCUGGGAGAAGAUAUAGAUAUAUAGAUAUAUAUACAUAUAUAUAUGUAUAUAUAUGUAUGUAUGUAUGUAUGAAGUAAUGAUGUUCACAGUGGUGGGAUGCUGGAUAUAUGCAUUUUUGUAUACCAAACACAUGGGGAGAAAGCUAGAGUGAAACAGAUUACCCCCACUAGAGAGGAAAGUUGAAGAAGUUUGACUACUUCAAUGUAUUUGAUUCAAAUCCAAAAUAUGCCUAAUGAACACAAUGCUGAGAUAUAAAAGCAAAAAGGAACAAUCUCUGCCCACAAGAAGCUUACAUUCAGAAGCUACCAGAAGGGAUAAGAGAUUGGAAAAAAACAAGGGAAUGCACAGAUGAAAUUAUCCAGAAAUCUACUAAAGCCAAAGUAAGAAGGAUAUACGUAUAAAAUAAGUAAAGUGCCUCAUAAUACAAAAACUUGAUAAUUAGCAAAGAAAGGUAUAGGUUUGUAGAAAUUAUUCCUAUUUUAUCUACUAAAGAUCCUCAACAGAAUUCAACCAUAAGUAUGAUAUUUAACUGAAACUCAUUUUUUUGUUUUUGCUAUUUAAGAAAUACAUCUUAUUUCUGGACAAAGGAGUGGUUUAAAUUUUUAAGCUUAUUCACUUGAAGGGAAAGUGAAUCACAGUUUCUAUCCUGUCUCUAGGAAUAAAACUCAUUGACUUUACUGAUAAACUUUUGGU
rnacentral:lncRNA from 1 species